ACACGGUCGUGGUCCGACUGGAAGAAGAGUAGGAUCAUUAGUAGCCCAUGAAUUAUCGUUUGGCAUGUACUAGUUAGUAAUUACAGUAAUUGGUUUGUGCUAACUUUAUUAAUUAUACAUUUAUUUAGCAAAAUGCACCAAGAAAGCACAGUAUAAUAAAGGCCUUUAAGCUAGGUUUGAACUUGAGGCCCUUCUAAAAAACAGGGCCCCAACAUUAGGUACUGAUGCAGGUGUCAGUAUACAGCCCCUAUUAUUUCAGUUUAUAUUGUUCCGUAGUGGUGCGUGGUAUUUUUAAACGAAUAGUUACUUUACAAACUAAUUGCCCCACCAUGAACAGAAAGCCCUCUGGCCCCUUUGGGGCACUUGUUUGCUUUGCCUGGUUGGCAGUCCCGCCUUGCUUGUAGUCCAUAACUGUGACUUCUUAAAUCCAAAUUAUUCUUACACACCCACAUGUGUAACCCUGGGCAGAAAAUGUGUGUGUCUGUGCCCACACACAAACACACAUUGACAGCCGCAGGCCUACUUACAUUUACCCAUACACACCAGCUUUGAGCAAAGACUCUGCGGUGAGCGGUGCAUUACCCAGGAGGCACAACAGAGUGGCACUGGAGCCGACCAGCACGCUGGACCGCCCGGAUGGGCGCUCUGGGCUUUGACUGGAACAAAAAUGAUCCGUGGAAGUGUGCUGUUAGGGCUCAGACAUAUGCUGAGCAGAUUUUAAAGAUCCUCCACUGUUGUCCAGAAACUGUUAAAACCCAUCAGCGAGCCGCGCUGCUGCACUGGCUGACAUGUUCCUCCAUCACCACGAGCACACUCUGGAGUUUACUCUGGCUCAUCUUGACUGAUAACAUCGGGGGCCGGCUGCUGAAGCACUGCUCAGCCCGACUGAGUGGGAUUUUCUGCUGUCUCUUUCAGCGCUCCCUGGAUACCCAGGUGGUCCUGGCACUGUGGAAAACAUCACUCGGGGCCCCCUUCCCAGUGACUACAGGCCCUUUUCCUUUACUUCACUGGUAGUUAACUCACUUGAGGAGAUUAUCAAACCCACACUAUCAACUCAUGUAAGCCGGUCCUGGACCCACUACAAUUUGCUUAUCGCUCUGCAAGUGGGGCAGACUGAAAGCACAGUUUGGACUGGACUCAAAACUAAUCACAGCAGAUACCCUGGACACCAUAACUGAGUGCGCAGAUGACGCCGGGGUCCAGUUCUAAGUGACUCGGUCGACUGGCAUCCCAUUUGAAUCUGAACACCUCCGAGACCAGGGAACUGAUUCUAGAUUUCACCACCCACUCUAUCUAGGCCCCGAGGAGAGGAGACUGAGGUGGUGACGGAGCUUCUUGAUCUUAUUAUCUUUUGUUUUUCUGAUGUGUUUUUAAUGUGUCUAUAUGUUUGUGCUGUACCACAAAUUGCCUCUCGGAGGACCUUUCUAAGCUUUCUAAGUCUAAACACUCCAUUUUAUUGGCAUCAACGUUUUAAAAACAAGUCUGCCAAAGCAUCCAAGUACAAACUGAUCAAACCAGUAAUAAAAAAUAAAAACAAAUACAAAAACACAAAAAUAGUAAUACUGAAAAAACAGACGCACAAUAACAGUAAUAUUAGCAAUAACACAACAUAGAAAAAAUACAGUAUAUAACAGCAAAACCGUAUAUACAACCAAAAUGGUUGUAUAUAUGUAACUUGUGUGUGUGAUAGACUAUGUCAAGAUAAUUUUUUGUCAUAUUCAGUACUCACCACAUCACCGAAGGCAGAUUCAUUCGCCACUGAAAAUAGUCCCCAUCAAAUGCAGUAUUUCGUCCUUUUAGAGGAGCGUUGCUGACUACAGUGGUCAGGUGUCGGGACGUUACUGAGCCUUUUCAAACAGGAACCCACGUAUCUGUGGGGCCACCUUCCAACACCUCGCGGACCGAGUGCUGCGUCCGCAGCCGCCUAUCUUGAUGACGUUAUCAUCCACAGAGACAGGUGGGCGCAGCACGUGCGGCAGGUGGCUGCGGUGCUCGGGUCAUUGAGGCAGGCCGGUCUCACGCCAGGAGGGAGGUAGUAUCUGGGGUAGGGGGGCAGGUGCGCCCCCAGGUAGACAAGACGCUGCGAUUGCUGCCUGCCCGAAGCCCAAGUCAAAGAAAGAGGGGAGGUGGUUUCUGGGGCUGGCCGGCUGUUACCGGCAGUCCCUUGACCAGUCUCACCCGGACAGGUGCCUCAGAUCCGGUCCAGUGGACGGAGCGGUAGGUUAGGCCGGUUAAGUCAGGCGGUGGGGAUAUGUGGAGGUGGGCAGGGGUCUCCUGUCUGUUCCUGAGUCCAGGAUGGAAACUAAGGGGGGCAGAGCUUUGGCCAUCAGGGCCCCGAGGAUCUG